ACUCCUACGGGAGGCAGCAGUAAGGAAUAUUGGUCAAUGGGCGCAAGCCUGAACCAGCCAUGCCGCGUGCAGGAAGACGGCCCUCCGGGUUGUAAACUGCUUUUGUACGGGAAUAAACCUUACUUCGUGAAGUAAGCUGAAUGUACCGUAAGAAUAAGGAUCGGCUAACUCCGUGCCAGCAGCCGCGGUAAUACGGAGGAUCCAAGCGUUAUCCGGAUUUAUUGGGUUUAAA
rnacentral:rRNA from 1 species